GGGUCUUGGGAUAUUUGGGGUUAAGCGUCCUUGGGUUUGAAUAGUACUGAGCUGGGUGACCUCCCGGGAAGUCCAAAUUCAAGAGCUU
rfam:Selaginella moellendorffii unplaced genomic scaffold SELMOscaffold_220, whole genome shotgun sequence.